CGCCUCCCUCUCCACCGAGGGAUGCUCACCCGCCGACCCCGGACCCCUCAGGCUGUCCUCAGGGCCCCAGAAGCCUCCACAGGUGGGGCUGGGGUCCUGGCUCCUUCAGACCCGGAUCCAGGCAGGGCCGGGAAUCCGGGGAGCCUCCGGGAGGAAGUCAGGACCCAGACCCUGGGGCAGCCGGGCUGGGCACAGGGCAGACAAGGGGCUCCCCUCCCCAGGCGCCCCCUCGACGCCACCCAGGCCAGAGAUGGUGGCAGAGGCUUCGACGGGGACUUCCGGCGGACCUGCCCCGGUUCCAUAGCAGGCACAGCUCAGGAGCUGCCAGUGCCCUGGCCGCCCCCCACCCGCAGCCGAGGGGAGCCACCGCGAGGGAAGCACAGUCCCAGUCCCGGCCUGAGAGACGCUGCUUUUUUCUACAUAAGAAUGAAAUGCCGCGACAGGAGCCUACAAAGACCUCCGUGUCCUGUUGAGAGUGAACCCCGACGGGAAGGACAGGGGUCUGGAGAGCCAGCCCACGGCCCCAGGCUCAGGCUGCCCCUGGUAGGAGCAGUGGGGCCGCUCCCCGGUGCCGCGCUCAGCAAGGAGGCGCUCCCAUACACCCGCUGCCACGGGGCCCAGGGCUGCGCCGCAGCCUCCCUGGAGGACAAACUUACCAGAAUGAAAAUAACUUCCCCUGCCAGCCCACAUCCGGGGCAGGAGUGCGGGGCAGGGCAAGGCUUGAAUCUGCAGACAGUCAUCUGGGCCAGCCCUGGAAAAAGUUCUCGGUCCGCUCAGCCCCAGAGCCUGAUCUCACUGUUACCAUCCUUGGCCCCACCCUUGGCAUUCACCUGGCCAACGUCCUCGUCACUUCCACCAACACCAAAUGCCAGUCAUCGAUGCCAUCAUCCCCAGUUCCAGCACUCCUUCACCAUGUCACUGACAGCACAAUCAUCAUCACCAUCAUCACCAUCGCCACCACCACCAUCAUCACCACCGCCACCAUCACCACCAUGACCACCACCAUCGCCACCAUCACCACCAUGACCAUCACCAUCGCCACCAUCACCACCAUGACCAUCACCAUCAUCAUCACCACCACUAUCAUGAUCAUCUCUAUCAUUACUACAGUAUCAUCAUAUCACAAAUAACCUCCCCACAUUGUGGCCACAUUCUUCUUAUCAUGAUGAUGUGAUCAUCA
rnacentral:lncRNA from 1 species